rnacentral:lncRNA from 1 species
CCAAUUGUUCAAAGAACAAUUGAAGGUCUUUCAACUAAUAAAGAUCUAUUUUGAUAUGAAAAUAUUAAAAUUCAGUUGAAAAUGUCAGUUCCUAUGGCUUUAUGAUAUAAAAAUAUGAAUUUAAAGCAAAGGUCAAAAUCUAGAACGUCCAAUUAACCUAUGACCUUGACCUCAAUUUCAAGGUCAUAAACUAAGGAUCCCAAAUCAAAAGACACUAGGUCAGUAAUAUGUAUGGUUCAUGAGUAAUAUCACUUUACGCAUAAUUCUAAAUAUAAGAGGGGCAAAAACUCCCGUUUAUUGUCUACGCACCCUUGCAACCAAAAUUUAUAAGUUACGACAUGUCGCAACUAACAAUUUAGUAAAAAAUAAUUUGUCGAAUAUCUUAUAAAAGUUAAUGAAAGUAAGUGAAAAAUAAGCCAAAAUCAAAAUUUAGAAUUUGACCUUGACCUUUGACCUUGACCUAAUUUUCAUUUUUUUGGACCAAGGAUCUUAAAUCAAAAGACCCUAGGUCUCUAUCACUUAUGGUUUACCAGUUAGAAAUGCAUAUCACUUAUAUCAUAUAUAAAAGGGGGGAUAACUCUCAUAUGGAGUCUCCGGAUAGCUUCGGUCAAAAUGAAACAGAACAUCCUGAGGAUAUAACGAGCAAUUUGGAAAAAUAAAUUUGUCGGUUUCUUAUACGGUUGCGAAGCCUUAGAGAUAACAAGAAAAACAGUGUUCGGGGAGAUAACUCUUACAAGGUAAAGGUUUUUUGUUACGCGGUGUCAGUUUCAGAAGCGUAUUAACUGUUCGAUAUCAUAUACCAUAUAUCUAAGCGACAUCUUGUGAAACAAAAAAACAGCGAAGGAAAAAAAAGUUGGCGGAAGAAAAAAAAAAAAAAAAUAAUUAAAAACCAAUUGUUCAAAGAACAAUUGAAGGUCUUUCAACCAAUAAAGAUCUAUUUUGAUAUGAAAAUAUUAAAAUUCAGUUGAAAAUGUCAGUUCCUAUGGCUUUAUGAUGUAUAAAUAUGAAUUUAAAGCAAAGGUCAAAAUCUAGAACGUCCAAUUAACCUAUGACCUUGACCUCAAUUUCAAGGUCAUAAACAAAGGAUCUCAAAUCAAAAGACCCUAGGUCUGUAUUAUGUAUGGUUCAUGAGUAAUAUCACUUUACGCAUAAUUCUAAAUAUAAGAGGGGCGAAAACUCCCAUUUAUUGUCUACGCACCCUUGCAACCAAAAUUUAUAAGUUACGACAUGUCGCAACUAACAAUUUAGUAAAAAUAAUUUGUCGAUAUCUUAUAAGGUUAAUGAAAAUAAGUGAAAAUAAGCCAAAAUCAAAAUUUAGAAUUUGACCUUGACCUUUGACCUUGACCUAAUUUUCAUUUUUUUGGACCAAGGAUCUUAAAUCAAAAGACCCUAGGUCUCUAUCACUUAUGGUUUACCAGUUAGAAAUGCAUAUCACUUAUAUCAUAUAUAAAAGGGGGGAUAACUCUCAUAUGGAGUCUCCGGAUAGCUUCGGUCAAAAUGAAACAGAACAUCCUGAGGAUAUAACGAGCAAUUUGGAAAAAUAAAUUUGUCGGUUUCUUAUACGGUUGCGAAGCCUUAGAGAUAACAAGAAAAACAGUGUUCGGGGAGAUAACUCUUACAAGGUAAAGUUUUUUGUUACGCGGUGUCAGUUUCAGAAGCGUAUUAACUGUUCGAUAUCAUAUACCAUAUAUCUAAGCGACAUCUUGCGAAACAAAAAAACAGUGAAGGAAAAAAAAGUUGGCGGAAGAAAAAAAAAAAAUAAAAAUAAUAAUAAUAAUAAUAAUAAUAAUAAUCAGAAC